rnacentral:lncRNA from 1 species
CUUAUUUUUACAUACAGGUGUGAGCCAUAUUUACUUACUUAUUUUUACAUACAGGUGUGAGCCAUAUUUACUUAUUUUUACAUACAGGUGUGAGCCAUAUUUACUUACUUAUUUUUACAUACAAUACAAACACUUUAAAUAAAGUUGAAGAUCAUCUCCAUGGACCAGGUGGUCAAGCCGAACACCCAGGAUCCAGCUGUCAAGUUCAGGGUAGCCCCUGAGCUUCUCACUCUGACUCCAACAGGGUGAGCUUGCUAUCCUUGUGGCACAGGGCCUUUUGCAUUGUGGAUGAUGGAGCGGCUCGUAUAGUCCAUAAGUUUUGUGCGUAGCUGUGUACCCUGUCCCUGUGAGCUGGUUCUGCCCGGCACCUCGGUGACCUCGAGGAAAGAAGCUGAGAGACAGAGUCUUGCUUUGUCACCCAGGCUGGAGGGCAGUGGCACCAUCAUAGCUCACUGCAGACUCGAACUCCUGGGCUCAAGGGAUCCUCCUGCCUCGGCCUCCAAAAAUGCCAGAUAUACGAUAUUUCACGUGGAUGACCCGAUUGGCCUGCUGCGGGUCAGGGAAACAGGCUCCCAGGUCGCAUCCUCAGCUUGUUCUUGGCGCUGGAAAAAAGAUGCUACGCGGUUCCCUCCUUCAGCCACCAGAGGGCGCGCCCUCCCCGUUUGUCCUCUUUCGCGCACUUUUUCUCCCGCACCUGUCAGUCACAGGGCAGCCCUUUAGCGGAACAGGGAUCCUGUUCUGUGAUUUUCCUGAGGGCCUGCCUCUCCCAGGGAGUAGCGGGCUCCUACGAACAGUAAUAGCAACCAUAAUGUAGAGACCAAGAGCAGAGUUACUGAGUUUUAUGCUGAUGUCCAAAGUCACAGGGCAUUUCAUUUUUCUUCUUUUUUCCUUUCCUUUAAAAAAAUGGGCUGGGCAUGGUGGCUCACGC